rnacentral:tRNA from 1 species
GCGCGGAUGGUGAAACUGGUAGACACGCUACCUUGAGGUGGUAGUGCCCAAAAGGCGUGAAGGUUCGAGUCCUUUUCCGCGCACCA